rnacentral:lncRNA from 1 species
ACUUGGACCUAGCAGCAUCAAUGAGCCAGCUCCUCACUGGGGAACAUGCAAACCCCCAGCUGCUGGUGUGCAGGAAAAGAAUCCAGGAGAUCACCUGAUGAAGCCCAGCAUUUUACAGGUGAGGGGAUGGAGAACCAAAUACAUCAAAGGAUGGGGAGAGGUUGGUCAAUAGGUAAAAGGUUAGAGUUACAUAGGAGGAGUAAGUUCUAGUGUUCUAUUGCACAGUAGGGGGACUACAGUUAAUAACGUAUUGUAUAUUUCAACAUAGAAGAGAGGAUUUUGAAUGUUCUCACCACAAAAAAACAAUGAUGUUUGAGAUGAUGGAUAUGAUAAUUACCUUGAUUUGUUCAUUACACAAUACAUAGAUAUAUUGAAACAUCACAUUCUAGCCCAUAAAUGUGUAGAAUUAUUAUGUGUCAAUUAAAAAUAAAACUAAAAGAAAAAAUACAGCAAGUCUACAGGUAUGCAAGCAAAACUGGUCCCACAAGACUAACCUCUUUCCUGUUUCAGAUAGGCAGUGGAGCAGGGGAAUCCAGUUGACACUGUGGCUAAAUUUCAGAAAACCUCCCAUGAGAUCUUGCAAAGGAGAUGGAGAAAAUAUGGCUGAAUGCCAGCAAGGUAGGACGGAAGCAUGACUGCUCUAACAACCAAGCUCAAAGAGCACUGCUCACCCAAUGUUUCCUUCAUGACUAGAGCAAAGUGGUGAAAGGACCCUGGUGAGAGGCCCAAAGAACAGGAGGUGUGAGCCAAGAGAAGGUCCUGCCAGGCCUAUGUUGCAGGCUAUUUGGAGGCUGAACUUGAGAGUGGCUGUGAGAGGAAAUUCAGAAGUAUCUUUGGAAGCAUUUUGUUAAUUUUGAGAUGCUGGGGACAUCAUCAAAAUGAAAAACUUUUGUGCCUCAAAGAACACCAUCAAGAAACUGAAAAGACAACCCAAGAAGACAAAAUUUGCAAAUCUUAUAUC